rnacentral:rRNA from 1 species
GACGGGGGAUGCGAGCGUUAUCCGGAAUGAUUGGGCGUAAAGGGUCCGCAGGUGGCCCGGUCAGUCCGCUGUCAAAGCCUGGGGCUCAACCCUGGAGAGGCGGCGGAGACCACCGGGCUUGAGUCCGGUAGGGGCAGAGGGAAUUCCCGGUGGAGCGGUGAAAUGCGUAGAGAUCGGGAAGAACACCCGUGGCGAAGGCGGCUCUCUGGGACGGUACUGACGCUGAGGCACGAAGGCUAGGGGAGCAAACGGG